rnacentral:misc_RNA from 1 species
GAUGAAGAACGUAGCGAAAUGCGAUAGGUAAUGUGAAUUGCAGAAUUCAGUGAAUCAUCGAAUCUUUGAACGCACAUUGCGCCCGGUAGUAUUCUGCCGGGCAUGCCUGUUCGAGCGUCAUUUCAACCAUCAAGCCCCAGCGCUUGUGUUGGGGGCCUGCGGCUGCCGCAGCCCCCUAAAAGCAGUGGCGGGCUCGCUAUCACACCGAGUGCAGUAGUUCAUCUUCUCUCCGGUCUUGUGAGGCGGGUUCCGGCCGUGAAACACCCCACUACAUUCAAGGUUGACCUCGGAUCAGGUAGGAAUACCCGCUGAACUUAAGCAUAUCAAUAAGCGGAGGA